UACGGAGGGUGCGAGCGUUGUCCGGAAUCACUGGGCGUAAAGGGCGCGUAGGCGGCCUGAUAAGUAGGGGGUGAAAUCCUGCGGCUUAACCGCAGGGCUGCCUUCUAAACUGUCAGGCUUGAGCACAGUAGAGGCAGGUGGAAUUCCCGGUGUAGCGGUGGAAUGCGUAGAGAUCGGGAGGAACACCGGUGGCGAAGGCGGGUCUCUGGGCAAUUCCUGACGCUGAGGCGCGAAAGCGUGGGGAGCAAACGGG
rnacentral:rRNA from 1 species